CAUCUGUUAACUACAGGAGUUUGAACACAGAUGUUCAGGAACAAAGGCUCUUAAGAAGCUGAUUCCAACUGUUUCUACCUACCCAGAGGGAAAUAAAUUGCUCUUGCCAUUAAAUCAGUCCUCUUGACUGGCAUUUCCAAGUACUUUGUGUCCUUUAAGAAUCUGAUAAACAGAAAUUUCAAAUGCUUCUUUCCUGCUGGAUAAAGACGUCGUCUGAAAAUAUUGGAGUAUGGGAG